rnacentral:rRNA from 1 species
GAUCAUGGCUCAGAUUGAACGCUGGCGGCAGGCUUAACACAUGCAAGUCGAACGGUAACAUAAAGAAGCUUGCUUCUUUGAUGACGAGUGGCGGACGGGUGAGUAAUGCUUGGGAAUCUAGCUUAUGGGAGGGGGAUAACUACGGGAAACUGUAGCUAAUACCGCGUAAUAUCGAAAGAUUAAAGUGGUGGGACCUUCGGGCCGCAUGCCAUAAGAUGAGCCCAAGUGGGAUUAGGUAGUUGGUGG